rnacentral:lncRNA from 10 species
CUCUCGCCCCGUCGCGUUUAUCGAGGAGAAGGGUGAAAACUGAGGUUUAGAGAGGGUAAAUAACUUGCCCAAAAUCUGGAAAAGUUUGCCAACCCCUGGUCUUACUCCUCAUUAAGGUUUCCCUUCCUCUCCACCAUUCCCAAAUCUGAGUAUUCCAGAAGAGCUACUGUUUUUUUAAUGAUAUGACUGUUUUGCAGGCCUAAGACUUAUGCAGAGGUGGCGCCCGCCCGUAAUCCCAGCACUUCGGGAGGCCGAGACGGGCGGAUCGCUUGAGACCAGCCAGGAUAACAUGGCGAAACCACAUCUCUACAACAAAUACAAAAAUUAGCUGGGCGCGGUGGCACACGACUGUGGUUCCAGUUACUCGGCAGGCGGAGGUGGAAGGAUCCCUUGAGCCUCUGGAGGUGGAGGUUGCAGUGAGCUGUGAUUGCGCCACUGCACUCCAGCCUGGGCGACAGAGUGAGACCCUGUCAGAAAACAAAACAAAACAAAAGAAUUCUGUAAGAACUUCUAACAGGUACAUUCCUGUAAGCAUUACCCACCACUGGACUAGGCACUGGGUAGCCUGUAAAAUACAGUAAGAGCCGUCUCUGCACCCAGAAAAUUUACCAUCAUUUUGUGCUGGAAAGACAUGCCCUAGAAAACAAUAAACAGCACGACUGUACAUGAUUCCAUGCCAAAUGACUGCUAGGAAUUAUUUUAUUAAUCCAUUCAACAAAUACUUAUUGAGUAACCACUAUUAGCCAGCCACCGUUUUCCGUGUGAGGACAUAAAAAUGAGUGAGACAAGGUCUCUGCCAUCAAAAAACGAACAGAUCAGUGAGGAAAGACGGAUGUGUCAAGAAAGGCUUUGCAGGUCGAGCGCGGUGAAUCACGCUUGUAAUCCCAGCACACUGGGAGGCAGAGGCAGGCGGAUCAUUUGAGGUCAGGCGCUCGAGACCACCCUGGCCAACAUGGCGAAACUCCAUCUCUACUAAAAAUACAAAAAUUAUCCGGGCAUGGUGGUGCAGGCUUGUAAUCUCAGCUACUCAGGAGGCUGAGGCAGGAGAAUCAUUUGAACCCAGGAGGCAGAGGUUGCAGUGAGCCAUGAUCAUGCCACUGCACUCCAGCCUGGGUGAGCGAGACUCCAUCUCAAAAAAAAAAAAAAAAAAAAAAAAGAGGGAGAGAAAGACUUUACAGAGCUGGUAACACUUAUCCUGGCCUGGAAAGAAAGAAAGAAAGCUUCCUAUGACGCCCUCUGGAUAAAACUUAGGACCCCUCCCUGCACUCUGAUUGCACCAUGUUGUUGCUGAACCCUAUAGAGCACAUACCAUCGCCUACUAGACAGUGAUCUCCUCAAGCACAAGCUCUCUGUCUUUUUUUUUUUUUUUUCCUUAGACAAGGUCUUGCUCUGUCACCCAGACUAGAGUGCAAUGGCACUAUCAUGGCUCAUUGCAGCCUCUAACUUCUGGGCUCAGGUGAUCCUCCCAUCUCAGCCUCUGGAGUAGCUGGGACCACAGGCGUGUACCACCACACCUGGCUAAGUCUUUUUUUAAUUUUCUGUGGGGAUAGGGGUCUCAAUAUGUUGCCCAGUCUGGUCUCAAACUCCUGGGCUCAAGCCAUCCUCCUGCCUUGGCCUCUCAAAGUACUGGGAUUAUGGGUGUGAGCCACUGCUCCUGGCCAGGUUCUCUAUCUUGUUCUUCACUGUAUCCCUAGGCUCAAGGCCCACCACAAUAUUAUUAGGCAAUCAAUAAAUAUUUGUAAAAUAUGUGAAAACAACAUCACCACCACAGAUUCUGGCUUAGAUUAUUUGGUAUGUAGAUGCGGAUUCCAAACACCAAAGUAAGGACAUAUUUCUGUUUCCCCAGUUCUGCAUGUGUAUGUGCGCAGACGUACACAGAAUCCCUCACAGAGUAGAUGUGUGUUGUAUUCUGGAUCGAGAGCAACUCACUUUACCUUUCUGGGCCUCUUCCAUCUUUCCCACCCUGCCUAAUCC